UCUCCCUCUCUCUCUCUAAUCCUUCGGUUUCUGCCCUCCUGUCCCUCUCUCAUUCCUCUUCCUCGCUCUCUUUCUCCCUUAUUUUUUCACUACAAACUAGUAUUUACAGAGAGACAGAAACAAGAAAAUAAGAGUUUCUGUUUCCAAUAGCUUGAGAGAGAGGUCACACACUUGUGGCCAUCUUCGCAUCUGAUAGUUUCUGAAUCAUGGUGCUUUGGAGGCAGUGAAGCUGUAGCCAACGCACCUGUAGACUUCGCUGAUUCACAUGACAAAGACAAACCCUUGAAAUUAGGUUUUGAAAGCCUAUUUUGGCCAGUGCCAUGUGUUGGCCAUGGACCGGAUUGUGUUCCACCAUGACACGGUGCUGUCGGAUAUCCACCUCCUACUGCCCAACACCCGGCACCUCAUGGCCCGCCUCAACCGCGUAGGACAGCCAGUGUUCACCACUAAAUUCAAGAUCCUAUGGAGAGGCGAGGCAGCGGACGCCUGGGAGCGGGGUUCUGCCAGUGAAAAGGAAGAAGACGAUGUUGGCUCUGUACCUGAAGAGGAAGAGGAGAAGGAGGAUGAGGAGGAGGAUGAGGCUGCAGCCAGCGGGGAGGCCGAUGAGGAAGAAGCUGAAGACGAGCCAGACCUAGAUGACGAUGGGGACCUUAGGGUAUCGCGCAGGCCGAAGGCCGGCCCCCCUGAGGGCCGCCGGCGGGCGGAGGUGUACCCCGUCAUCCUCCGGCAGUCCUCGGCCGCCCCGGAGGACGCCGGCGACGAGGAGGGGGAGGACGGCGACCAGCCCGACGUCAUCAGGAUCGAGCACACCAUGGCAACCAGCCUCCAAGACGUUGGCAAACAGGUGUGGCGCGGGGCCUUCCUCUUGGCAGACUACAUCUACUCCCAUGCGUCUGUGUUCCGGAACGCCACUGUGUUAGAGCUGGGGGCGGGAACCGGCCUGACCAGUAUCAUCAUGGCCACCGCCGCCAAAAGGGUUUACAGCACAGAUGUGGGUGAGGACCUUUUAAGUAUGUGUCAGAGAAAUGCAACAUUGAACAAACAUCUUCUAGCAGCAGAAGGCGAGCUCAAAGUAAGGCAACUGGACUGGCUCAAAGAUGAUCUUUGUACAGAGGAGGAGGAGGAAUUCAGCUGGACUGAAGAGGAGGUGGCAGACCUCUACGACAACACCAGCGUCAUCAUCGCCGCCGACGUUUGCUACGACGACGAUUUAACGGACGGCUUCUUCCGAACCGUGUACCGACUGUGCAACAGUAUGACCAAGCCUUGCACUAUCUACCUCUCUCUAGAGAAACGGAUGAACUUCACCCUGCGGCACAUGGACGUGUCCUGCGACGCCUACGACUACUUCAGCCACUGCCUGCGCCAGCUGGAGGCUCUGGGGGACGGGCCGCGGUGCUUCACCGUGGAGCCCCUGGCCACCUCCUUCCCUCAGUGCCUGCAGUACGAACGCAUCGAGCAUCUGGAGCUGUGGAAGGUGACCUCCACCCCCACUGGGGGGCACCAGCGGGGGGGCAAGGACCCUCCCUCCCCGACCCCACUCCCAUGCCCCGAUCCUGGUCCUGGUCCUGGUCCUGGUCCUGGUCCCGGUCCUGGUCCUGAUCCCUGAUCCCCAAUCCCACGCCCCGAUCCUGGUCCUGGUCCUGGUCCUGAUCCUGAUCCCUGAUCCCUGAUCCCUGAUCCUGAUCCUGGUCCUGGUCCUGGUCCUGGUCCUGGUCCUGGUCCUGGUCCUGGUCUUGGUCCUGAUCCUGGUCCUGGUCCUGGUCCUGAUCCCUGAUCCCUGAUCCCUGGUCCCGGUCCCGGUCCCGGUCCCGGUCCCGGUCCCGGUCCCGGUCCCGGUCCCGGUCCCGGUCCCGGUCCCGGUCCUGAUCCUGGUCCUGGUCCUGGUCCUGGUCCUGGUCCUGGUCCUGGUCCUCCUUCUUUGGGAGUCAGUUUGGAGUGUGGGAGAGAGUUAUUUAUUGGUUUCAAAAUAAGCAAAUCGGUAGUUUGACCUAUAUUUAUUAAGGAGUGGGUUUGAACAUGAAGCUUUAUUACGAAUAAGCUUCGUCUGUGAUUGUGGAAGUGUCCCUUUGGUAUCUGAGGAUGGCUGUUUGAAUGUGAAUUGUUUUUUGUGUUCGAUUUAAUUUAGGUAUCCCAUGAGCAGGAUGGUUCUUGAAAUCAGAAGUGUGUGUGUGUGUGUGUGUGUGUGUGUGUGUGUGUGUGUGUGUGUGUGUGUGUGUGUGUGUGUGUGUGUGUGUGUGUGUGUGUGUGUGUGUGUGUGUGUGUGUGUGAUUUUUAAAAGCAUAUUGUAUGGGAAGGGAUCUUGUGAUCAUGUAUUACCAAAUGAUACAAUUUAUAUGUGUAUAUAAAUUUGAAUAAUUAGAUAACAAGAUUGUUAAGGGUUCAUUUUCAAUGUGCCAAAAAUAAAAUUGGAAUACUUUUUUAAUGCAAGAUUUGUUUUGUCAACGAAGACCCAUUGUAAUUAUUAUGUAAUUGCGUUUUUGCAUUGUUCACCACAAGGGGGCAGCUGUACACAGCAGAAAAGUAACGGACAGAACGGCAUGCGAGUAAGAGUACAAUCCAGGAUACAGUUGCGGCAUAACAUUUGUGAUAUUUCAAUGUGCUACUGCUACCUUGUGUUUCUACUUUGUUUUGAAGUAAAAAAAACUCCUCAAUGUGAAACAAACGUCACCUUCUCCGCAGCACAUCAAGUGUGCAAUAACUACGUGUGUGUGUGGCUGUGUGCGUGUGAGAGAGCACGUGAGACAAUGGUUCCGACUUUUUUCUUUUUGCUUAACCCCAUUGGGCGAGACGACAGGGCGACGAUAGAGCCCGCCUCCAUCGGAGGCAUAGGAACCUCACAUCACUGCUGACGCGGAGCCGUGUGCCGAUUCUGCCUUCAUCAAUCAAUGCUGUAGAGCUUUUCUGCAAAUCAGGUGUUUACGCAAAAUACAGUCCGUAUAAGAGCGUCGCACUAUCGUUUGCAGUACUCGGUGCUGUGCUGGUGAACGUCGAGGACAACCCGCCUACACUCUCGUCUCCCGACGUCCGGGGCAGUCAGUUGCCUGCCGCUCGCUGCAGCUAUGG